rnacentral:piRNA from 1 species
UCCUCCGUUUUCCAUGAACAU